rnacentral:lncRNA from 1 species
AGUUUUUUGUUUCCGUCUUUUAAAUUUUCUUUUUCUAGGGAUCUUAUGGUUUGUUGUAUUAAUAUCAUUCAUAUGCUGAUUUAAAUGGACAGUGUGAAUUUUAUCUCUUUGAAAUUUAUUCCUUUGUUUUUCUUUAUGUUUCGAUAGUUCAAUUUGUUCAAUAUCUGCGAGGCGACGUUUAAUUAUUGCUAAAUCGUCACGAGAAAUGUUACUAUUGUUGAUGAUAUCUGAUAUUUCAUUUACAAUUUGUUUGUAAUUUGUGGUUGUAAA